GCCUUGGGCUCGAAAAUGGGCGAUGGUCUUGUAAGCCAAGGGAGGAGUAGUGAUGCGCUCCAGGGCA
rnacentral:tRNA from 1 species